rnacentral:lncRNA from 1 species
GUGGGGGGCGAGCUGGGCCGGAGCGGGGUUUCAGGCUCCUCGCCGCAGCCCCGGGGGCCCCAGUCGGUGGGACGCAGGGAGGAAAAAAAGGGGAGCCGGCGCCGGUGUUAUUGCUCUUCCCUCUCUUUAAGGAGGUCAAACGCGAUCGUUCAGAGCUAUUGAUUGCUCCUCGGGCUUGUAGUGAUUUGUUAAAAGGCUAAUGGAAUGAGUCAUCGACAGAGUGGAUUAUUUAAAGCACCAUGAGGAAAAUUAAGCUGUGAAGUGGAAUUCCAUCAGGCUGUCUACUGUGAAGCCCCGUGGCUUUAGAAAUGGGGCAGCAGUGGCCAGAAAUGACACUCAAAAGGUAAAUUUAUUUCUUUUUUAUUAAAAAGGAUAAGUUAUGACCUGUACAGUAUAUCUUAAAGAAGGAGGGAUGUUAACACGGUAAAGUG